UCGGAGGGAUGGACAGUUUCGUCCGGGAACUGCGGCCCCGCCGGCAGGGGCCCGCCCUGGCCCUGGAAAGCCCUCGGACUCAGGCUUGUAACUUGGGAAGAAACCUUAAGACGACCUGUCCCAACAACCUCCUGCUGCAGAGAAGGAAGAGACGGCUGCGAGGCCAAAUGGGGGCUGGAACUCAGCUCGCCGGCCCACCACCAGGCUCCUCGACCUGCACCAAGUUUCAGCAGCAAGACAGAUCUGGGAUCUGUCUGUCCUCCCCAUGGAACCCUGUUCCUUUUAGUGAAGAAUGACAUUUAGAAACCAAGAUAUGAAAUCACAAAAAAGAAAGUACCUGAAGAAGCCACAGCUGUGAUAAUAUUAAAAAAAGAAUACAACAAUUUGACCAGUCUGAAGGCAAGGUUAACAAUUAUUGAACUAAAAUGUGGUAUACACUAUAUGUAUUGUAUUUUUAUUUGAUCAUCUAAACAAUAUAAUUGCUAGAGCUGUUUACCAUUUUAAAAAAGAAGAAAUUUAUAUUAGUGCAUUGUUAAACUUGGUCAACUUUGUGUGACUAAUACAUUAUGGAAAUUGAAUUCAAACCCACACAUUUGACACUGAA